rnacentral:piRNA from 1 species
UCACCAAAUAUAUGCCUUCGUGGUGGUCU